rnacentral:lncRNA from 1 species
ACUGUACGCGUGCAUUAUGCCAAAAAGAGUGACAAUAGCUCCCAAAUCAUCACCUUAACUUUGAGCACCUAUAUCUCCUUCAUUUAAACUCCAAACCAUAUAAAACUUGUACCAAAACCAUAGCCAAAAACCUAAACUUGCCGAUCUUGGCCUUAAAAGCUGGAAUUGCCCCCAAAAACUAACCCUAAUCUCUAAUAUGGCCUCGGAUAGCCUCC